rnacentral:rRNA from 1 species
GAUAAACGUUAGCGACAGGCCUAACACAUGCAAGUCGAGGGGCAGCACAUGAGUAGCAAUACGAUGGUGGCGACCGGCGCACGGGUAGAGUAACACGUAUGCAACCUACCCAUAAGAGGGGAAUAACCCGGAGAAAUUCGGACUAACACCGAUAAUACUGAAUAUUCGCAUGGAUUUUCAGUUAAAUAUUAAUAGCUUAUGGAUGGGCAUGCGUAUGAUUAGAUAGUUGGUAGGGUAACGGCCUACCAAGUCAACGAUCAUUAGGGGUUCUGAGAGGAAGGUCCCCCACAUUGGAACUGAGACACGGUCCAAACUCCUACGGGAGGCAGCAGUGAGGAAUAUUGGUCAAUGGGCGAGAGCCUGAACCAGCCAUGUCGCGUGAAGGAAGAAUGUCCUAUGGAUUGUAAACUUCUUUUAUACAGGAAUAAAGUGUACUACGUGUAGUAUUUUGUAUGUACUGUAUGAAUAAGGAUCGGCUAACUCCGUG